CUGAUGUCCUGCACUCCAGCAGCCUCGGAGCGGAACUGCUGUCUGACAACAUCUCCAAGAAGCUACACUCCAAGUGACUGUCUACCGUACGACUUCAUCGUGAGUCACAAAGUGCACUUCAGCAGCGUGGCCCCCACUCACUACGCACACACACACACACACACAUACACCUGUGUUCAUACAAGCCCACUUUCUACACAACCCCGGAUCAUGCUGAUUGAUGAUGUAAGGAUUGAGGAUGUGGUCAUUUUCUUUAAUCACACGUCUAUCAUUAGAGAAUCCGCAUCGUGUGAUCAAAAACGGAGAACGCAUGUUAAUUUGUUAACCAUUAAAACCAGUGCCAUUAUUGGUUCUUAAUGGUAUCCACUAGACAUAACAUGCCACCAAAGCAACAAAUUACCAGUAGACCUACAGGGACAUUACAGAUUCUAUGAGGGUUUCUGUUGUGAUUGUUUUUUUCAGCAGGGAAAAUUCCUAUUUCCAUUUUGGGAAUAAAUCAGAACAAAGUGUAACCAAAUAAUGAGCUAAUAAAAUUAUUUAUAUGUAAUUUGCAUUCAGUCUCUCAAUCUGGCAACAAUGAGAAGCUGUGUUUUUCUGUGUCUAUUUUACUUCUUUUUUUAAGUGUACAAUAUCUGGAGGAAAAUACUAAAAUAGUUUUAUUCGAUUUAAAUGUAUUAAUUAUUGACAUCAUUGCCUACUGGAUUUCCUUUUUUAUUUUAGUAAUAAAUAUAUUUUAGGAAUAAAUCAUAGCAAACUGAUUAAAUUCAUAAUGAACUAAUUAAUGCACAGAAGAAAAAAAAAACGUUUCAAAUUGCACUCGAUUGUUCAAUCUGGCAACAAUGAGAAGCUUUUAUUAGUAUUUACAUAAACUUCUGGGGGGAAAUACUAGAAAAUUAAUGUAUUAGAUUUAAAUUGGUUAAUCAUUAAUUGCAUUGUGGAUUCCUUUUUUUGCACCUUUAACCAACAGUUGAAUAAUUUAAUAAUAAUAAAAGUGCAACAGAUCUGAAAUGAAUAUAAAAUAUUAUUUAUUUGUUUACUUGUUCAGUCAAUGGUGCAAAAAGGUAUCUGGACUAGAUGACCUAUCUGGCCUUUGAUUAGGCCUACUGCGUCUUCUGAUGGAGAUGUAAAACGAAGUGUGUGAGUUUAAAAGACCCGUGUGUUCCUCUAAGAAGGACAGGGUGAAGGAAAUGCACCAUACCGUGACGUAGGGCACGGCCGACAUGCUGCAGCUCCAGACCCGGAGGUAAGGAUGCACAGUUCAUCUAAUUAAAACCUGUCUAUUUUUUUUUAGUUUUAUUCCAACACAUUCCUGUUUUAUUUUAUUGUUUAUAUUGUUUGCAGAGGGUGUGUGUUCUGUCCAUGGAUGACGAUUUAGAUGUAAAACGAAGUGCAUGAGUUUAAAAGACCUGUGUGUUCCUGUAGGUGUUGGCAGCUCAGGAUCAGAGACAAGCGACUCGGCGCGCCAGGAUCUGUAAUCUAAGACGGCAAAUUCGGCGCUUAGCGUUCCUUUCGAACCGGUUUCACUGACUGCGUUUAACGUGCAGCGAAGGACGGGAUUAAGGCAGGUGAGCUGCAUGAUGGCAGGCUGAUCGCCGAUCAGAAGAAGGAGGUGGAAGAUUGAAGACCCGAUUUUUAUUUUGUUUUUUUGUUAAAUAAAAGGUUUCUUUAAACAACCAACACCUGCCUGACUG